rnacentral:rRNA from 1 species
AAUGGGGGGUUCUAAAUGCAAGUCGAGCGGAAGAUGGGAACUUGCUCCCUGAUGUUUUCGGCGGACAGGUGUGUAAAACGUGGGUAACCUGCCUGUAUGACUGGGGGAACUCUUUGGAAAACGGGGCUAAUACACCGAUACUUGAUUGAACCCCAUGGUUCUAUUAUAAAAAGUAGCUUUUUGCUUCCCCUUUAUAGAUGGACCCGCGCCGCAUUAGCUAGUUGGUGAAGGUAACGGCUCACCAAGGCAACGAUGCGUAGCCGACCUGAGAGGGUGAUCGGCCACACGGGAACUGAGACACGGCCAAACUCCUACGGGAGGCAGCAGUAGGGAAUCUUCCGCAAUGACAAAAGUCUGACGGACCACGCCGCGUGAGUGAUGAGGUCUCGGAUCAAAAACCUGUUGUUAGGGAAGAAUAU